rnacentral:rRNA from 1 species
GUGAGUCAUCGAGUCUUUGAACGCAUAUGGCACCUUUGGUUCUUACUAAAAGGUACGCCUGUUUGAGAAUCAUUUUAUUCUUUUGAUCCAUUUGAUCCAACAAUCGAUCAUUUGAUUUGUUGUUCCAUCACUUUGCAUCGACAUUGGACCUUCAACAUUGAUCGUCCUGAAUUUAUUACACGGAUUGUUCGUUGAUAAAGGGAGUGCACUUUGCUGCAUUUGUUAUAUCCAUCGAUCAAUCCAUCAUCACUUUAUUAAUGUAUCUCAAAUCAGGCAAGAUUACCCGCUGAACUUAAGCAUAUCAAUAAGGCGAGG